rnacentral:rRNA from 1 species
GGACUACUGGGGUAUCUAAUCCUGUUUGCUCCCCACGCUUUCGCGCCUCAGCGUCAGUAUCGGUCCAGAGAGCCGCCUUCGCCACCGGUGUUCUUCCCAAUAUCUACGAAUUUCACCUCUACACUGGGAAUUCCACUCUCCUCUCCCGAUCUCUAGCCAAACAGUCCCAAAUGCAAUUCCCAGGUUGAGCCCGGGGCUUUCACAUCUGACUUGAUUGGCCGCCUGCGCGCCCUUUACGCCCAGUAAUUCCGAACAACGCUUGCCCCCUUCGUAUUACCGCGGCUGCUGGCAC